GACGUAGGGCGCGAGCGUGUCCGGAUUUAUUGGGCGUAAAGAGCUCGUAGGCGGCUUGUCGCGUCGACUGUGAAAACCCGCGGCUCAACUGCGGGCCUGCAGCCGAUACGGGCAGGCUAGAGUUCGGUAGGGGAGACUGGAAUUCCUGGUGUAGCGGUGAAAUGCGCAGAUAUCAGGAGGAACACCGGUGGCGAAGGCGGUUCUCUGGGCCUGUGACUGACGCUGAGGAACGAAAGCGUGGGGAGCGAACAGGA
rnacentral:rRNA from 1 species